rnacentral:rRNA from 1 species
CGUGUUUUGUCUAAAGAUGCGCUGCUUUUUUAGUUGCGGCGGAGGGUGAGUACACGUGGGCAGUGCGGCGGCUAUAAUGCAGUCGAGCGAACAGAUAAGGAGCUUGCUCCUUUGAAGUUAGCGGCGGACGGGUGAGUAACACGUGGGUAACCUACCUAUAAGACUGGGAUAACUUCGGGAAACCGGAGCUAAUACCGGAUAACAUUUAGAACCGCAUGGUUCUAAAGUGAAAGAUGGUUUUGCUAUCACUUAUAGAUGGACCCGCGCCGUAUUAGCUAGUUGGUAAGGUAACGGCUUACCAAGGCGACGAUACGUAGCCGACCUGAGAGGGUGAUCGGCCACACUGGAACUGAGACACGGUCCAGACUCCUACGGGAGGCAGCAGUAGGGAAUCUUCCGCAAUGGGCGAAAGCCUGACGGAGCAACGCCGCGUGAGUGAUGAAGGGUUUCGGCUCGUAAAACUCUGUUAUUAGGGAAGAACAAAUGUGUAAGUAACUGUGCACAUCUUGACGGUACCUAAUCAGAAAGCCACGGCUAACUACGUGCCAGCAGCCGCGGUAAUACGUAGGUGGCAAGCGUUAUCCGGAAUUAUUGGGCGUAAAGCGCGCGUAGGCGGUUUCUUAAGUCUGAUGUGAAAGCCCACGGCUCAACCGUGGAGGGUCAUUGGAAACUGGGAAACUUGAGUGCAGAAGAGGAAAGUGGAAUUCCAUGUGUAGCGGUGAAAUGCGCAGAGAUAUGGAGGAACACCAGUGGCGAAGGCGACUUUCUGGUCUGUAACUGACGCUGAUGUGCGAAAGCGUGGGGAUCAAACAGGAUUAGAUACCCUGGUAGUCCACGCCGUAAACGAUGAGUGCUAAGUGUUACGGGGGUUUCGCCCCUUAGUGCUGCAGCUAACGCAUUAAGCACUCGGCCUGGGGAGUACGACCGGCAAGUUGAAACUCAAAAGUAAUUGGACCGGGCACCCCG